rnacentral:rRNA from 1 species
UACGAGAGGCCCAAACGUUAUUCGGAUUUACUGGGCUUAAAGAGUUCGUAGGCGGCGCAGAAAGUAGGGUGUGAAAGCCCUCGGCUCAACCGAGGAAUUGCGCUCUAAACUACUGUGCUUGAGGAAGCUAGAGGUGAGCGGAACUGAUGGUGGAGCGGUGAAAUGCGUUGAUAUCAUCAGGAACACCGGAGGCGAAGGCGGCUCACUGGGGCUUUUCUGACGCUGAGGAACGAAAGCCAGGGGAGCAAACGGG